rnacentral:sRNA from 1 species
AGAGCGGGUCACGUGAGCGCCUCGCCUGGAUGUGAGUUUCAGCCAGACCUGUGGAUAUCUGGGCUUUGGGCUGUAUGAUCAUUGAGAUGGCCACUGGAAAUCCCUAUCUUCCUAGUAGUUCUGAUUUGGAUUUACUCCAUAAAAUUGUUUUGAAAGUGGGCAAUUUGUCACCUCACUUGCAGAAUAUCUUUUCCAAGAGCCCCAUUUUUGCUGGGGUAGUUCUUCCUCAAGUUCAACACCCCAAAAAUGCAAGAAAAAAAUACCCAAAGCUUAAUGGAUUGUUGGCAGAUAUAGUUCAUGCUUGUUUACAAAUUGAUCCUGCUGACAGGAUAUCAUCUAGUGAUCUUUUGCAUCAUGAGUAUUUUACUAGAGAUGGAUUUAUUGAAAAAUUCAUGCCAGAACUGAAAGCUAAAUUACUGCAGGAAGCAAAAGUCAAUUCAUUACUAAAGCCAAAAGAGAAUUCUAAAGAAAAUGAACUCAGGAAAGAUGAAAGAAGCACAGUUUAUACCAAUACACUGCUAAGUAGUUCAGUUUUGGGAAAGGAAAUAGAAAAAGAGAAAAAGCCCAAGGAGAUCAAAGUCAGAGUUAUUAAAGUCAAAGGAGGAAGAGGAGAUAUCUCCGAACCAAAAAAGAAAGAGUAUGAAGGUGGACUUGGUCAACAGGAUGCAAAUGAAAAUGUUCAUCCUAUGUCUCCAGAUACAAAACUUGUAACCAUUGAACCACCAAACCCUAUCAAUCCCAGCACUAACUGUAAUGGCUUGAAAGAAAAUCCACAUUGCGGAGGUUCUAUGACAAUGCCACCCAUCAAUCUAACUAACAGUAAUUUGAUGGCUGCAAAUCUCAAUUCAAAUCUCUUUCACCCUGGUGUGAGGCUAACUGAAAGAGCAAAAAAGAGACGCACUUCUUCACAAUCUAUUGGACAAGUUAUGCCUAAUAGCAGGCAAGAGGAUCCAGGUCUUAUUCAAAGCCAAAUGGAGAAGGGUAUAUUUAAUGAGCGAACAGGUCACAGUGAUCAAAUGGCAAAUGAGAACAAAAGGAAGCUGAAUUUUUCCAGAUCUGACAGGAAAGAAUUCCAUUUUCCAGAAUUGCCUGUCACAAUACAGUCAAAAGAUACAAAAGGAAUGGAAGUUAAACAGAUAAAAAUGCUGAAGAGGGAGUCAAAGAAAACAGAUUCAUCUAAGAUACCAACUUUACUUAACAUGGAUCAAAAUCAAGAAAAACAAGAGGCUAAAGAAAUCCUGACAAAGGAAUCCAACGUGCAAGAGGUUCGAUGUCCAGUUACUGUCUGUGGAGAUGUGCAUGGGCAAUUUCAUGAUCUCAUGGAACUGUUUAGAAUUGGUGGCAAAUCACCAGAUACAAAUUACUUGUUUAUGGGAGAUUAUGUUGACAGAGGAUAUUAUUCAGUUGAAACAGUUACACUGCUUGUAGCUCUUAAGGUAAUUUCAAUUUUAUGUUGGGGCAUGUUGAAAUGGGUAAAACAGUCCUCUUGAAAGUUUUUUUUCCCAAUUAUUUUCUCUAUCUGAAUGUUAAAACAAAAUUCCACAUUUAGGAAUGCAUAUGUUCAGGUUUUGGACUUACAAAUCAUAGGCGUCUGCGUUCUGAGUAAGGGGAUGGUACAGAAUCAAAACAAAAGGAAGAGAAUGAAUGCCUCAGUCAGAUUGUUUGAAAAAAUAGGCUGGGCGUGGUGGCUUAUGCCUGUAAUCCCAGCACUUUGGGAUGCUGAGGUAGGCAGAUCACCUGAG